CCUACGGGUGGCGGCAGUGAGGAAUAUUGGUCAAUGGACGAGAGUCUGAACCAGCCAAGUAGCGUGAAGGAUGACUGCCCUAUGGGUUGUAAACUUCUUUUAUAUGGGAAUAAAAUGUUCCACGUGUGGGAUUUUGUAUGUACCAUAUGAAUAAGGAUCGGCUAACUCCGUGCCAGCAGCCGCGGUAAUACGGAGGAUCCGAGCGUUAUCCGGAUUUAUUGGGUUUAAAGGGAGCGUAGGUGGAUUGUUAAGUCAGUUGUGAAAGUUUGCGGCUCAACCGUAAAAUUGCAGUUGAAACUGGCAGUCUUGAGUACAGUAGAGGUGGGCGGAAUGCGUGGUGUAGCGGUGAAAUGCUUAGAUAUCACGAAGAACUCCGAUUGCGAAGGCAGUUCACUGGACUGCAACUGACACUGAGGCUCGAAAGUGUGGGUAUCAAACAGGAUUAGAUACCCUUGUAGUC
rnacentral:rRNA from 1 species